AUGAAACCAAUAAUCAACAUCCAACACAAUCAACGGUAGCAGCAUGUACCUAUUAAUUUGUUUGGGUAGCAGUUGUGAGUUGUGACUUGUGAUUGUCAGUUAUUUUCUGUUGUUUUCAAAUUGAGAACUGAGAAGGCCUGCUUUAUGCGACGAGAGUAAAGAUCUUGUGAAUAUUAAUCGACUGUGGAUAUAUCUUGGAUAUUAUAUUACACCUACUGAUCAUAUUUGCCAUGCAUGCUGGCAACUUGCGUAUCAUGCAUCUACUGAAAAUAUGUCCAGCAGCAGCAGCGGUUCGCCAUCAUAAUAUCUGUGUUGUAUCAUGUGGAUUAUCCAUAGUAAUAGCAAAUCGAUGCAGAAUUUUAAUUGAAGGGACAAAUGAAGAACAACAAAGAGUGGCUUCUAUACCUAGUAUCUUCUUGGAUUCAAGCACGAGAGCUUUGGUCUCAAGAUGAAGAACCAGAAUAGUCCAAGUAAUUGAGGACUUUCAACCUGAAUAUAUGGAAUCAGCUUUAAUGUGUACUGUAUGUGGCCAGUCUGGACACCACAACUUCAGACUUAGAGUGGAAUCCUGAAAACAUUACUCGUUUGCUGGAGCAACAAGAGAUGUCAUCUAUGAAUGAAGUUUCUGGAGUUUGUUGGAACCAAGCUCGAGACAUAAGGUCAGAUAUUCCAGAAGCUGAUGAAAGAUCCCAACAAAAUAUAGUGUUGUUCAAUAUAAGAAGAGCAGCUGAAACACCAGGACAUUGCGUUUUUCAAGAAUGCAUGAAUCCUGAGCAAAAUGUUGUGCCUUGAGUUGCCUGUGCCUGUGUUGUGUUGUUGUGCUUUAAGCUAAAAAAAAGUCCUGCCAUUUAACUGCCAACAAAAUAAGUUUUUCCAGAAGGAAAAACUUAUUUUGUAUUUAUUGUAACAGAAAGAAACAUGAAUGGUCAGGUCGCUAUCAAAAGCUAUUGCUGUUACUGCAUUGUAGGCUUUAGAACAGUGGGAUGCUGCUCACAUGUUUAUGAGCAUCAUUUGGUACCUAAGCUAUGUUCGCCAUGAGGGUACUCC